UUCCUGUCCUCAGGAGCCAGAUCCUUAGGUCCCUUCUCUUUCCUCCCAGGCCCCAGGGACAACAAAGCUAAAGAAAAGCUUGGCCAAGGAAACUGGAGUGUUGGGUGGAAGCCAAUCAAAAGGCCUGGACCAGGUCCUCUGGAUCCCAGCUCUCCCCCAUCCCCUCUGGGUUGGGCCUGGCUGCCUGAGAAAGUGCCCAGGUGCGAGGUGCACAAAACCGGGCUGGCCCAAGGCGCAGGGAUGGGGGAGGUGGGGCUCCCAGCUGGCAGUCUGCAGGCAGCUGCUGGGGUCACUGUCUCACCCUCUCCUAGUGUGAAUGCUGAGCCUACAGAGACCGAUACACAGUGUCCACAGGGCCUCCUGUGAAGGGAGGGGUGCCAGAACCAUUGGCUGUGCAAAUGCAAGGCCUGCUGUGCCUGGGGGAAAGCUGGUGGGGCUACUGAAGAGAAGGGGAACUUCCUACACCAUCCUGCUUCUGCCCAGAGAGAGGAGAGGCAGUUGGUGUGUCCUAAGGGCCAGCAACAGGCAGAGAAGGGGAGGGGUCAGCUCCAGGGGAUCGCCACUGUGAGGUGCCUGCCUCCUCUGGGCAUGAGGUCGGGGAAGGAGAGACUGGAAUGGAAGGUGGCUCAGUGGGCAGGCCGAGAGGGUGUGCUGGGCGAGGCUGGGGCCAGCAAACCUCCUCGAGAUGAGAGCAGAGCCUGGCCAUUCGCCAUGUGACGCAGGGCGCUCCACUCCCCCAGUGUGGAGUUGGGUUUCACAUCUAUUAUGUGGGCCCGGGUAAAAGCUGCUAGGAAAUACGCAGAAACAUUGUCCCCAAGUACGCUACACAGAACACCUAUUUCCUUUGUAGUUCGAAUGUUUUUUAAAAUAAUAUGUUAGAAAAGAAAAUGAAGGCACCUCACACUCAUUUCCCACAGCUGGCUCUUGGGCACUGCUCUGAAUGCAUAGGACUCGCUCCUCUGAGAGCCGCCUUCCCACGCCCUGCACGUCCAAUAAGGGACGGACCCUUGUGCAUCAGCUGGGAGGGCAGUGGGCAGCUCCUUGGGCUAGAAGACAGCCGAUGUGUCCCCCAAACCUCCUGCUACAUUCUGACCAAUGAUGGGAGCCGGCUGAGGAUCUCAUCCCUGUGUCCCAGGGUCCCGCUUGGGCUCUGGGACGCAGCGCCUGCUAAUGUCUUUUAUGCCAUGUCUGCCCCCUUCAUGCCCGCACUCCAAGGAGCUCUGUCUGCCGAGAGACGGAAGCCCAUUGCAGGCAGGCAGAGGCCCGCGAGGGCUGCCCCGUCCCCUGCCGUGGGAGGUUGACUCCCAGGAAAAAUGCCACCUGACCAAUUCUCUGACCGUCUCGUUCACCCUCCUCUUAGACCUGAAGGCACCAAAGAAAUCAAUAAAGACAUAUUCUCAGGAGAGGAUUUAAAAACGAAUGCUAACCAGGAGCCACGCACCAGUGGCCUCCCUCUCCGUUUCCAGUCUCCACUGAGUCUUCAGCCUUUUAUCUAUCUUUAUAUAUAACAACCUCCAGCACACAGAUCUUCUUUAAAUAAAAUCUCCUUUUUUUUUUU